CCUACGGGGGGCAGCAGUGAGGAAUAUUGGUCAAUGGACGAGAGUCUGAACCAGCCAAGUAGCGUGAAGGAUGACUGCCCUAUGGGUUGUAAACUUCUUUUAUAUGGGAAUAAAAUGUUCCACGUGUGGGAUUUUGUAUGUACCAUAUGAAUAAGGAUCGGCUAACUCCGUGCCAGCAGCCGCGGUAAUACGGAGGAUCCGAGCGUUAUCCGGAUUUAUUGGGUUUAAAGGGAGCGUAGGUGGAUUGUUAAGUCAGUUGUGAAAGUUUGCGGCUCAACCGUAAAAUUGCAGUUGAAACUGGCAGUCUUGAGUACAGUAGAGGUGGGCGGAAUUCGUGGUGUAGCGGUGAAAUGCUUAGAUAUCACGAAGAACUCCGAUUGCGAAGGCAGUUCACUGGACUGCAACUGACACUGAGGCUCGAAAGUGUGGGUAUCAAACAGGAUUAGAUACUCUUGUAGUC
rnacentral:rRNA from 1 species